rnacentral:rRNA from 1 species
AACGAACGCUGGCGGCAUGCCUAACACAUGCAAGUCGAACGAGACCUUCGGGUCUAUUGUCGCACGGGUGCGUAACGCGUGGGAACCUUCCCUUGGGUUCGGAAUAACUCUCCGAAAGGGGUGCUAAUACCGAAUAAUAGCUUCUAACCGAAGAUUUAUCGCCUUUGAUUGGUCCCGCGUUGAAUUAGCUUGUUGGUAGGGUAAAAGCCUACCAAGGCGACGAUCCAUAGCUGGUCUGAGAGGAUGAUCAGCCACACUGGGACUGAGACACGGCCCAGACUCCUACGGGAGGCAGCAGUGGGGAAUAUUGGAAAAUGGGGGAAAGCAUGAUCCAGCAAUGCCGCGUGAGUGAUGAAGGCAUUAGGGUUGUAAUGCUCUUUUAACCGGGAUGAUAAUGACAGUACCGGGAGAAUAAGCCCCGGCUAACUCCGUG